rnacentral:rRNA from 1 species
GGCGCAGAGUUGCCUAACGCAAAUGCCCUCUACCUUUUACACAAGGAUACCCAAGAAAAAUUUGUAUUACUACCUCCCAACAGGGGACCUGGGGGUCUCUGCACUCCUCUCGUCAUUCGUGAAACCAUGACCAUGCAUCCCGUUGGUGGGUUGGAAGCGUACCGGCUUACCAAUGCUACAAUGGGCAGGGGUCCUGAUAGGGAGAUCCCCCACUGUGGCACUGACACAACUCCCACACUCCUACGGGAGGCGGAAUAGAGGAAUAUGGGACAAUGCCUGAUCCCCUGAUCCCGCCAUGCCGCGUGCAGGAUGACGGUCCUAUGGAUUGUAAACUGAUUUUAAACGGGACUAAACACUCCCUCGAGAGGGAUCUUGACGGUCCUGUAAGAAUAACGAUCGGCUACUUCCCCGCCAGCCGCCGCGGUACUACGGAGGGUGCAAGCGUUGUCAGGAUUUGUUGGUUUUAAAGGGUGCGUAGGCGGCUGAAUAAGUAUGCGAAAAACCACUUCUGCUUAUCCGGACCGCUGCCGUUGAUGCUGUUUAACAUGGGUGUAGAAGAAGGACAUGGAAUUGAUGGUGUAGCGAAGAAAUGCAAAGAUACCAUCAAGAACACCGAUAACGAAGGCCUUGUGCUGUACCACUGCUGACGAUGAGCCACGAAAGUGUGAGGAUCGAACAGGAUUAGAUACCCUGGUAGUCCACACCGACGACGAUGAUUACUCGCUGUUAUACUGUAUGCUGUAGCGGCCAGCUAACGCAUUAAGUAAACCACCUGGGGAGUACGCCCGCAACAGUGAAACUCAAAUGAAUUGACGGGGGUCCGCACAAG